rnacentral:rRNA from 1 species
UACAGAGGUCUCAACCGUUGUUCGGAUUCAUUGGGCGUAAAGGGUGCGUAGGCGGUCGGGUAAGUCGGAUGUGAAAUCUCAGGGCUCAACCCUGAAACUGCAUUCGAUACUGCCUGGCUAGGGUACUGGAGAGGAGACUGGAAUUUACGGUGUAGCAGUGAAAUGCGUAGAUAUCGUAAGGAACACCUGUGGCGAAAGCGGCUCACUGGACCAUUACUGACACUGAGGCACGAAAGCUAGGGGAGCAAACAGG